rnacentral:lncRNA from 1 species
UUUUUUUUUUUUUUUUUUUUUAAUAUUACUUAAAAUAUAUACAUCACUUUUUUUUUUUUUUUUAUUUGCUCAUUCGUGUGUCAACUUAUAUACACAUAUAUACACAUAUAUAUAUGUAUAAUAUAUGUAUAUAUACUUACCUACUUGUUAUAAAUUGAUGGCAUUUACUAAAACUGAUUUAACUAAAAAGACCGAACAUAAAUAUAUAUUAUGUACUUAAAAAUAAUAACUAAAUAAAAAAAAAAAAAAUAAAUAAUAAUAAUUAAUUAUAAUGGAAAUAGAAAAAAAAAAAAAAUCACGCAAAAAGUUAUUUAUAGAGUGCAUAUAUGUUUAAAAAAAAAAAAAAAAAAAAAAAAAUAAAAAAAAAAAAAAAAAAAAAAAAAAAAAAAAAAAAAAUGAAUAAAGAAGUAAAACAGUGCUUAUUCCCAUGUGAUGCUAAGUACUUUCAAAACAUUUUUGAAAAAUAUGUAAAAAAUGAAAACUAUCUAAAAGAUAUAAAAGCUAUUCAUAGUAGUCGAGGAUUGCUAGAAGAUCUUAUAAGUAAAAAAAGUGGUUUGAAUUUUUAUUUAGAUGAAAAAUAUAAUGAACAUUUGUUAACAUAUUUGAAGCCAAUAUUUUUCCAAAAGCUUCUUAAGUAUAUAUCAGAUAAUAACAAGACAAAAGAUAACCAUGUGUUGGAGCUAACAGAUGAUCCUACAAUAAAUAAGAACAUAAAUAAUAGUAAGGAUUUGGAAAAUAGUAAUAUUAUUACUACUACUAGUAAUGACAACAAUAAUAUUUCGAAAGAAAUAAAAUAUGAAAAUAAUGAAACAAAAACAAACAUUGAGAAAAAAAAAACAACAGGAAAAAAAAAGAACAACAAAAGUGUUACAACAAAAACUAGUAGAACUGUGUAUGCAUUGAUGGAGGAGAUAAAAAACUGUUUUGUAUUUAAUAAAAAAAUUAAUGUUAUAAACAGUUAUAGAGUAAAUUGUUUUUGUUCAAACAUGAUUGAUUCACUUCCUACUCUCAGUUAUUUUGAUACAGUCAAAAUACAUUUAUCAUAUUACCCUUUAAGAGCAUUUUUAUUAUGUAUUUAUUUUAGCACCUUUGUCAUGUAUUUGUGUGAUGAUAACAACAUAGCAGGUACUUAAUAUAUUACCAAGCUAAGGUUCUAGAUACUACCUACUUCCGCUGAUAUGCGUCGUUAUACAAACAUGUGCAUAUAAAAUAUAUACCACAUAUGCACACGCUUAAGCGUUCUAAAAGAUUUUAUAUUUUUCAUAAUUUGUUUUUGCAUGCUUACAUAUAUGCCUUAUCUUUCAUUACCCCCAAAUUUUU